rnacentral:siRNA from 1 species
AUAAAUCCUGGAGUUGGGACUUA